CCCGAGUUGUAAUUUGCAGAGGAUGCUUUGGGCGAGGCGCCUUCCGAGUUCCCUGGAACGGGACGCCACAGAGGGUGAGAGCCCCGUCUGGUCGGACGCCGAGCCUCUGUAAAGCUCCUUCGACGAGUCGAGUAGUUUGGGAAUGCUGCUCAAAAUGGGAGGUAUAUGUCUUCUAAAGCUAAAUACCGGCCAGAGACCGAUAGCGCACAAGUAGAGUGAUCGAAAGAUGAAAAGCACCUUGAAAAGGGGGUUAAACAGUACGUGAAAUUGUUGAAAGGGAAGCGCUCGUGACCAGACUUGGGGCGGGCGGAUCAGCCGGCGUUCUCGCCGGCGCACUCCGCCCGUCCCAGGCCAGCAUCAGUUCGCGCCGGGGGACAAAGGCGGCGGGAACGUGGCUCCCCAGGGAGUGUUAUAGCCCGCCGCGCCAUGCCCCGGGGGCGGACUGAGGGCCGCGCAUCACUGCAAGGAUGCUGGCGUAAUGGUCACCAGCGACCCGUCUUGAAACACGGGCCAAGGAGUCGUCCUCGUAUGCGAGUGUUCGGGUGUCAAACCCCUACGCGGAAUGAAAGUGAACGUGGGUGAGAGCUUCGGCGCAUCAUCGACCGAUCCUGAUGUUCUCGGAUGGAUUUGAGUAGGAGCAUACGGGGCCGGACCCGAAAGAAGGUGAACUAUGCCUGUGUAGGGUGAAGCCAGAGGAAACUCUGGUGGAGGCUCGCAGCGGUUCUGACGUGCAAAUCGAUCGUCAAACAUGGGCAUGGGGGCGAAAGACUAAUC
rnacentral:rRNA from 1 species